GAUGAGAACGCAGCGAACUGCGAUAAGUAAUGUGAAUUGCAGAAUUCAGUGAAUCAUCGAGUCUUUGAACGCACAUUGCGCCCCCUGGCAUUCCGGGGGGCAUGCCUGUCCGAGCGUCAUUGCUGCCCUUCAAGCCCGGCUUGUGUGUUGGGUCGUCGUCCCCCCCGGGGGACGGGCCCGAAAGGCAGCGGCGGCACCGCGUCCGGUCCUCGAGCGUAUGGGGCUUUGUCACCCGCUCGAUUAGGGCCGGCCGGGCGCCAGCCGGCGUCUCCAACCUUCUAUUUUACCAGGUUGACCUCGGAUCAGGUAGGGAUACCCGCUGAACUUAAGCAUAUCAAUAAGCGGGGA
rnacentral:misc_RNA from 1 species